rnacentral:tRNA from 1 species
GGACCCGUAGCUCAGCCAGGAUAGAGCGCCGGCCUCCUAUGGCUGAAGAAAGCCGGUGGUCACGGGUUCGAAUCCCGUCGGGUCCG